UUCUCUUCAUCCUAGAAACCUCCGUGACUCCGGUGAGACUUCUUCGCACUCUCCCUGUCUUCCCUUGUAGUCUGCUCGCCUCCUGCGCAUCGUCAUUUCCAUCAGCUUCCUCCCUCGGUACAGAUCCGUCUCUCCUCCCUGCGGACUUCCAUUUUCCGUCUGAUUUUCCUUCGUCGAGCUGCAUCUCGUCGGCUUUCACCCUCAUUUCUUCCGGUGAUUCUCCAGCCGCCCGUCGCAUUUCUUCCGUUUCUUCACCUUCUUCCCUCUGCGCCAGUGCUAAGCAAUGUCCUAGUUGCUGGUAACUCAGCACAUCACCCUGCUACUUCUGCUGUGCGCUUCUUUGUGUCGAUUGGCUUGGAGUCCACGGCCCCUGCAGUGCGUUUCUUUGUGUCGAUUGGAUUCGAGUCUGCAGAUUGUCAAACCUCAUCUCCACCGCGCUUACCAUCGUUGGACAUUUACAGGGGUGAGUGGUGAGGGGGAUCCGAUAUGAAUCAAAAUAAACAUAAACGUCAAUCUUCUGAGCCAACAGGAAAUCAAAGUAAAAUCUAUUACCUGCGAGGUGUUUUGAUCUUACAUAUCAACUGGAUAAAAGAUUGUUUAACUGUGAGGCUAAUUAUGCAAUACAGAUAUUCCUGCUAUACAUACACCUAUAACUUCUGACCCUGCUGAAUCUCGACUCAAACGAAGGAAAUACUUAAAUCAAAAAAAGAUUAGACAAAGAGGUAACUAUAUUUCUAUUGAUUUUGUUUUCUUUUUUUGCGCUUUCAAAACUAUUAACUUCCUGAGCUUAAAUCGCUCCACUGUUAGCUCAAAAUGGAAUGCAUGGGGAUGUUUUGAAAUGUGGUUAUUUCUUUAAGGAAUUUAGUGACGCAUUAAAAGAUACCUUAACAACCAGUCACGGAUCAAGCAAUCAUGCCUAAAGAACCACUACCUCAACUACAAUGAAUUAUGCCGUGCUAUAAUCAAGCACCCUCCUAUAUAAAAAAAACAUCCAGGAUGUAUUAGACCAUUGACUAGGAAUGCAAUGUAUCUGAUGAUGUAUUAAAUAUUCUGUAUAAGUAUUUUAAUGGACUUCUAUCUCCCAUAUCAGCAAUGGAAUAUU